rnacentral:lncRNA from 1 species
AGAGACCCAGAUCAGACUUCUUCCAUGGCUGCGCUUGCUGGUCUCCACACAAUGAGAAAUAGAUACUUAAGGUUGCUGCCAUACAUCAAUGAGUGUGAACCCCCCUCCACAGUGUCUUGUGGAAAAUUUGCACAGUGCUGGAACACAGAUGGGAGCUACUACUGCACAUGCAGCCCAGGAUACCAACUUGUUUCUGGGGCAACGAUGUUCAGGAAAGAAAGUGAGAACACAUGUCAAGUUGUCAAGCCUGAGAAUACCACAAAGGACCAGGACUCAGAAAAAUGUUGUGUCAGACCUGAGCAGGAUGACAAGAACACCCCAACAUACACACUUGGAGAUCUGGAUAAACAGAAGAGGCUCCCAUCUGGACCAGACAGCAACAGAGAUCAUCAUAAGGAACCAUUGCCACAGGGCCAAACCUCUCCCAAGGAGGUCAAACCAGGCUCCAUGGGGGGCCAGACUGAUGGGGGACAGAAGAAGGCUAAGCCCCACUGGCAAGAAGCCAAAGGGAUCAUCUUCCCCACCUGGGCUGCACCCUCAAGAGUCAAGAGCAAGGUGAGUGCCCCCAGAAGAAACCAGGAGGUAUGAAAUCCCUCUGCACAGCCUACCCAUUUCCCCCAGGCUCCCCCACCCUCACAUAAAUCUCUCUGACACCCUCAUCUCCUUCUUC